UGUUUUGUUUUUGAGUGCAUACAAGCAUGAUUCCGCCUUUAAUUGUUAAAUUGCAUGCUAUAUGAUGUUGCUCAAAUGAACAUGUUUUUCAAAAUAAUUCCUUCAACAAGUAUGUAGGUGCUCAUUAAGGGAAUGAGUUCACUGAACACAAUCGAACGAGAGUACUUGCAUGGAGGUCUACUCACAUGUCAAGCAAGUAACUCUAAUAGUUGAAAUAAUGUAAGUAGUCCUUUAACCUGAGGCAUCAUCGUUGUCUUGUGGUUAAGUACUUGAUCUUUGAUUAUGUCAAAGUCACUCCAUCCGCGGGUGUCCACAGCAUAGUCGGGGUUAAGCCACUUAGUCAUGAAGGCAAGUGAAUGCACAACAAGGAAUCUCUAAUCCUCGUUAAGAGAGGAUGAAUACUCUAAGUUAUGAUUCUGGAAUCUUCGGCCGAAGUAUCGAGCAUAAUAAAGGAAAGCGUUCCUAUACGACUCAAUUGAAUCAUAUAAGAAGGAAUAAUCACAUUAGGGGUUUGACAUAAUAUAUCCAUACCCUAGUGAUGUGAUUCAGAGUAUUGUUUUAGAGAAGGAUUGAAUUACAUUGUAAUACCAACUGAAUAGGUUCUCCGAACAACUUCUACAUUAGCUUGGGUAGCCAUGAUAUAUGGUUAGAUGUCACUUAUGGCUUGUGAGUUCUUCUAGAUGAUUAAAUGUAGUCGUCAAAGAAGAAGGUGAAUUAAAAGUAAGUUUUAAUUCACUAAGUGAUUGGAUUAAAUGUAAUCAAUUGGAUUGGUGCCAAUCACCUCACUGCCUUACUAAUUAGAACCUAAAACGAUUGUUCACCAAUACACUCUUGUAGUGAGUAA
rnacentral:lncRNA from 1 species